rnacentral:lncRNA from 1 species
CUGUGAACUCACAAAAGGAAGGGUAUAAAACACUAAAAAAGGAUGUUUGCCUUCUGAGUAGCCAAUUUCUAGUGUUGGAAUGGGUCUAAGAAGUGGAGUACAGUAAAGACUUGAUGGAUCAAAUCAUGUAAUUAAUUAAGAGGCCAGGGAAUCAUGUGAACAUCAUGCAUGUUGAGUAUAAAUUUCUCAUGCUGUCAAUCUCUCCUGGCCUCCACUAUACAUUUGGUGGGAUAUUUUAGAUCUCAGUGACUUUUAAGGAUGUGGCUGUGAACUUCACCCAGGAGGAGUGGACUUUUCUGGAUUCUUCCCAGAAGAACCUUUACAAAGAUGUGAUGCUGGAGGUCCUCAGAAACCUGGCUUCUAUAGGUAAUAAUGAUGUUUUUAAAAUUAAUCAAAUAGAGACCUCAUGUUUAUUUUGGUCAUUUAUGUAGAAGGUGAAAAGGGAAUAAGUUGGUGAACUAAUUGCAGCAUAAAUGGCACGUAUGAUUUGGCAAAGCAUUUCUAGCUCCUAAAUAUUUAUAAAGAUUGUUCUGUUCUCUCAUUUUAGAAAACAAGAGGGAAGACAAGACCACUGAAAAUCAGAUCGAAAACUUUGGAACCAAUGUAAGGUAACUGUACUCACAAGAGGAAUUCAUGAGGGAAUCUGAGAACUGUCAUAUAAUUUUUAAAGGAAACCAAAUGAAAAAGUAUGUGUAAUAUGAAAUGUAUUUAUUCUUAUAUUAUCAGAAAUACAUACUUAGCUGUAACAGAUAUUCAGUCUUUUCAAAGUAUUUGACAUGCAAAUAGUACUAUAAAAUUGCGUAUGUAAAUAUCACUAUUCGGAUAAUAGCCAUAGAGAAUCUGUAUUGCAAAGGAUUGUUUCCUUUCAAUCUCUUUAUUUUCAGGCAAGUUGAACAAGUCAGAAAACC